rnacentral:rRNA from 1 species
CUAGGAUGAACGCUGGCGGCGUGCCUAACACAUGCAAGUCGAACGGGGUUAAGUGAAAUUUCGGAUGGAGCUUAACUUAGUGGCGGACGGGUGAGUAACGCGUGGAUAACCUGCCUCACACUGGGGGAUAGCAGCUGGAAACGGCUGGUAAUACCGCAUAAGACCACAGCACCGCAUGGUGCAGGGGUAAAAGAUUUAUCGGUGUGAGAUGGAUCCGCGUCUGAUUAGCCAGUUGGCGGGUAACGGCCCACCAAAGCGACGAUCAGUAGCCGGCCUGAGAGGGUGAACGGCCACAUUGGGACUGAGACACGGCCCAAACUCCUACGGGAGGCAGCAGUGGGGAAUAUUGCACAAUGGGCGCAAGCCUGAUGCAGCAACGCCCGCGUGAGUGAAGAAGUAUUUCGGUAUGUAAAGCUCUAUCGGCAGGGAAGAAAGGCCCGAAAGGGAGAUGACGGUACCUGACUAAGAAGCCCCGGCUAACUACGUGCCAGCAGCCGC